rnacentral:misc_RNA from 1 species
GAUGAAGAACGCAGCGAAAUGCGAUAAGUAGUGUGAAUUGCAGAAUUCAGUGAAUCAUCGAAUCUUUGAACGCACAUUGCGCCCCUUGGUAUUCCAUGGGGCAUGCCUGUUCGAGCGUCAUUGCUGCCCUCAAGCACGGCUUGUGUGUUGGGCCUCCGUCCUCCUCCCGGGGGACGGGCCCGAAAGGCAGCGGCGGCACCGCGUCCGGUCCUCGAGCGUAUGGGGCUUCGUCACCCGCUCUUGUAGGCCCGGCCGGCGCUUGCCGACACAUCAAUCUUUUUUCCAGGUUGACCUCGGAUCAGGUAGGGAUACCCGCUGAACUUAAGCAUAUCAAUAAGCGGAGGA